rnacentral:tRNA from 1 species
GCCUUGGUGGUGAAAUGGUAGAGACACGCGAGACUCAAAAUCUCGUGCUAAAGAGCGUGAGGUUCGAGUCCUCUUUCAUAGCA